CAGGGAAAUAGGGUUUCCUGUCUUCUUACCAAUUCCUGGGCUCCUGUACUAGCUGCAGUGAAGAGAGAUAGCAAGCUCAUUGGAGGCAGGGGGUGGAAAUAAGAAGGAGAUGUAAUGAGAGAAGUAGAUGUGGCACUGAUGGGUACAUAGCUGGGAUUUAAGACCAACACAGGUUUUUUGGGAAGAGUAAAAUCUGGAGCCAAAGGAGUUCUCUGUGUGAGCCUCUUCCUGGAUCAGAGUCCCCACCAGAGAAGCUGCUGUUGCUCAUCAUCAUUACAUUAACGUAACGUCUCCCCUGGUCCCUCAGCUUUACCCCAGAGAGGGGUUCUCUGAGGAUUUUAAUAUGGUUUUAGAAAGAAUAAAUAUCAGAAUUCAACUGUUUGACUUGGAGAUGAAAGUAAGGCUUAAUUUGUAUUCACCUGUCAAAUGUUGGAAGUGAAUGAAGUGUGUGCAGACUUUUUAUCUCUAAGAAGGAACCACUGUGAUUGUCUGGUUCCCAUCACAUGUGUUCUCAAAGUUCCAUGAAGAAUUUCUUCUUCUGGACAGAAGUUUAUGCUGAGGCCAGAGGACCACUUUCAGUAAUGCACUGUAUUCUAAAAUUUGCUAGAGACCUCAUGAUAUCUCAGGACAUCCCAAAGUGACUGAUUCUAGUAAUUGAUUACUCCCAGAGGUAGAAAAUGUGCGUUUCCUUUCCAGUGAAUUUAUCUACUCUCAAUUUCAGUUGGUGGAUCUUGUAUUUUCCUGAUUGAUUUAGAUCUGAAGUGUAUCCUGUAUGCAGUACAUAGAAAGCCGAGUAGGUCAUUUCUUGACCUCUGCUUGAUAAAUUAGAUUAAAUAUCUUGAUUUGAUAGAUAUCAUCUUGUAAACCUAGAAUCAUUUCAUAUUUCUUUCUGCUCCUUUCCCCAUAUUCCACCUUUUUUUCCUUCAAAAGUAGCCCUCAGAAGUGGGGACAGCAUUCCAGCAUACUCACAAUAAUGACAGAAGUAGCAGCAUUCUUCCCUCCUGCAGAACAAAUGAGGUAGUUGAGCCAGAUCCUUCCCCUGUCAUAACAUGAAGGUCAGUUGUGAAGAUUU